GGGGAAGUGUCGGAAGUGGCAGACGAGCGUGACUUAGGAUCACGUGGAGCAAUCCGUGCGAGUUCAAAUCUCGCCUUCCCCA
rnacentral:tRNA from 1 species